UCCCAUCCAACCCAGGUAAGCGACGCCUCGUCUUCCGCGCCCUCGAACCCUUAUAUAAACCCUGCUCCCCCCCUUCAUUCGCGACUGAUUCUCACUUCCUCUCUCGUCUCGCUCCUCGUCUUCCUCGACUCUGACCACUCCUCUUUCACCAGGUUGCUGAUGGCCGCUCCUCCACACUCCGCCGCUGGUUCUGCUGCCGCAUCUCAAUCCGACGUCUGCGCCGCUCUUGCCGAGUCACUCUUUGCCGCUCCCACCAGCAAGAAUCCGCUGUCCACCGUCGGAGCCGACGUAAUCCGGGAGGCUCUGGUGAAGAUGGGCCAGCCGGACCUGGUUUAUACUGAGGCUGGAACACGUCUCGCCUCUCAACCGCCGCCGGGCAUGGUGGCUCUUUACACGCCCUUCGCCGAGGCCGGCCUUACUCUUCCGCUUCCCCCUCUAGUGGCCGAAG
rnacentral:lncRNA from 1 species